GUCUCUUUGUUUAUAUUUUUAUAAAGAGUCUAACCUGCCCGGUGAUGUUUAUUUAACGGCCGCGGUACUCUGACCGUGCAAAGGUAGCAUAAUCAUUUGCCUUAUAAUUGAAGGCUCGUAUGAAUGGUUUAACAAGAAUUAGUUUGUCUCUUACUAACUAAAAUGAAAUUGACUUUUAAGUGCAAAGGCUUAAAUGUUACUAAUAGACAAGAAGACCCUAUUGAGCUUAAGAAAUUUAUAAUGACAUGAAUUAUAUUAAAAAUAAAAUUAUGAGUUAUUAAAAUUUUUUAGUUGGGGCGACUAUUGGAACAAACAAAACUUCCAGAUUUUAUAAUAUUUAGUAUUAAUUUAUUUGAAUUGGAUCCAAAAUAUUUUGAUUAAUAGAAUAAGUUACCAUAGGGAUAACAGCAUAAUCUAUCUUAAGAGUUCUAAUCGAAAGAAAAGGUUUGUGACCUCGAUGUUGGAUUAAAAUAUUCCCAAGGGUGUAGAAGCUCUUAAUGGUUGGUCUGUUCGACCAUUAAAAUUUU
rnacentral:rRNA from 1 species